GGGGCUGCUGCGGUUUUUGCUUGAAUAGAGCGCGCCGAUGGAAGCUUGUAGGAGUUCUUGACUUUAACGAGUUUAUCAGCGGCGACUAGUUUCUUCAGAUGAACGAGCAAAAGCUUCCUGAAAUUGGAAGGCAAUUGCUUAUGCUUCUCUUCGUUGAACUUCGUAAUGGCGUACUGACUCGAACCGGUCCUCUCCUUCAGCGAUAC
rnacentral:misc_RNA from 1 species